GUUAAAUAGUUAAACUAUAAUGAACUCCACAGGACUGUGGUUGCAAAGAACAAGUGCUGGUCGCAUCAAUAUCUGUAUUAGAUUGCCCCCAGUGGCAAGGAAUUGUAAAAGACUUUCACAUAGAAAGGCAAAUGAAAAACUCCAAUUGAGAAAUAGGUCUUCUGGUGGGGAAAAAAAAAUAAUGCUGCGUGUAGAAAUCUCUAAGCUUUCAUCCAUUUCUAGGAAACUGGAAUGGGAGGAGCAUUCCUCCUACUCCUGAAGACAUCUGCAGUGUGGGGAUAUAGGGAAACUACUGCAGUACAAGCAUGACUUUGGCAAAUUAAAGUUUGUCAGAAUCUCAGCAAACUUUCCAUUGAUCUGGGUUCACUUAUGCUUUUGUUACAGUUCUGGGCUUCUUUCUGAUGUUUCCCUUUGGACGUGUACUUUAAAACUAUUUCAUGAACUUGAGAUGCUUGAUUGUCCGCACAGUCUCAAGAGUAAGCAAGAUAUUUCUUUCUAUGGUCGUCUUCUUCCUCCUCCUCCUGCCUCGUUUUCAACUCAGCAUCUGGCAAAGAUGGACAAACUCUGGGACGUAAAAAUUCCCUUAACUAUUUACUAUGGUAAAAAGCAUUCUUUUUUUUACCCUUGAGAGGAGCACAAAGAGACUCCCUAAAGGAAGGAAGAACUUCCUAAUGUGAAAAUAAACUACUAGAAAAUACAGCCCUGGCCCAUUUAUAAAAAGAGAACAGAUGCAGCAUGGAAGAAACAGUAAGAGAAUGCUUUUUCUUUGCUCUUUCUUCUGAAGUUCUUUCUUCUGGUUCAUUUUCAACCACUGAAUAUCCCUAAAAAGAGAAACUGGACACAUAAAUCAUUUCACCUCAAAAUUCAUCCAUGUGAAAAAUAAACAAAUCACUUGCCAGCAGAUGUUAGAAAAUUACCCUAACCUUUAGUACCAGGUGAGGCCAUUCAUCUAGAGGAAGAGAGGAAGAAGAGAGGAAGAAGAGAGGAAGAAGAGAGGAAGAAGAGAGGAAGAAGAGAGGAAGAAGAGAGGAAGAAGAGAGGAAGAAGAGAGGAAGAAGAGAGGAAGAAGAGAGGAAGAAGAGAGGAAGAAGAGAGGAAGAAGAGAGGAAGAAGAGAGGAAGAAGAGAGGAAGAAGAGAGGAAGAAGAGAGGAAGAAGAGAGGAAGAGAAUCUUAAAAUAGUACCCUGAAAAAGAUCAGAAAAGAGCCAGGAUGCUAUUUGUGUGUCUCUCAAGGAAAAUAAAUGAAUUCACUUAACCCUCCUUUGAGUAAUUGAUUUGAACAUGUGCAGUAAUGUUGAUUAAUCUAAGUGCAAUCUACCUCCUGGUAAAAGUUUUUUUCAACGUGUGUAUCUCAAGACUGAAAAUUAUGCUGCAAACAGCGCAAGGGAAGUUCUACAGAGCUACAAGAUGCUUUGCUGAGUUUUCAAAACUUCAUUAUCCCCUCAGAUGAGCAACAGUAAAAAGUGAAAGUGGAAAAAAAAAAGAAAACUUUCCCAUGAAUAGCAGUGUUUCAGGCACUUACACCGAGCAACAUGAAUUUAGGAUACUUUCAGUUUUCAAUUACUUCCUUCUCAAAUCACAUACCUCAGCACUAACAUUCACCACCUGCAUUUUUAGAGGCUAGAAAUCAUCACGAGGAAAAUUCCUGGGGAGCUCUCAGUCCUCAGCUGGUAUGAAUGACACUAGUCCCACACUUCUGAGCUACAGUUCAAGGAGGCCUGCAGGAGACAGAGAAGUUCCACUGCAUCUGGCAAUACAACCUGCAUCCUCAAAUCUGCCUUCAAAGCUGUAAAUGCUAGGAACAAACUUUUAUCCAUGUAUCUGUCCUGUUGUUACAGUCAUCCGUGGUGGUUUACCUAAGGACAUGGAAGCUAGCUUCUGGCAACACAGAUCCCUGCUGACAAAGGAGGCAUGUUCCAUCUCCCAGGUACCCAAAGCUGCUCUAGUAGAAGACGUCAGAAUCCAAAAUCUUCUGAUUCCUGACAAGUACCUCCUUUUGGUUGAAGUUGGCAAAAUGAAAGCAAAGGCUGGUCAGCACAUUUUCCAUCAUAAUCUAAGACUACGCAGAUGGAUCACAAAGAACUUCAGCAGUCAACACUACAUGCUUUAACGCGGACUAAAGCAAACUCAAGAUAAGCUUCAUCAAUAGCUGGAAGUGAACUUAAAAACAAAAAUGUUCAAAGCCAUUACGAAAUGAAAGCUACCUGUGAGGUACUGUGACACUAGAAGCUCCCAGGCUGAAUGAAAUAUGAAACUUGCUGGAAGAGUACAACACAGGAAGGCUGAAGUACGAGAAUUUCACAGAUGUGGGGACUUUUGAGAGCGUUCCAAUUGAAACAAACUUGCAACAAACCCUGCGGAGAGGUUCAUUCAACAGGAUGAGCUAACCAAGAAAACAGUCAUUUCUGGCUAGUUGCAUCAAUAUUAGCAGCAGCUGUGAACUCAGUAAACAGCUCUGUUUUCUGGUUGUCAAAGAGCUGCUAAAGCAGAUGUGAAACUCAUCAAAAAUAGGUCACGAGCAGAGAACAUGCAAGGGAAUGCAUCAAUACCAGAGUGAUCUGAAAAUAAGCAAUGCUGGAUUAUCUCAAUAGUGUUUAUUACCCCCAAAUUGUACCUAACACACAACGGCAACCAACAUACUCUUUAAUGUGAUUGCUAUGACAGGAUCUUCCUCAUAGCACACUGGGUGAAUAAGGGUGUGGUGUUUUCAGCAGCUGAAGUACCAGAAAGAAGAAAAGGUACUGAAUUGCUCUCUGCUUACUUCUGAAUGAGGUUUUCUGAGGCAGGUUUUCAUGCCUGUCCUUCUUCUCAAACUCUAAUCAUCUCAGAUUGAGGUAUCACAAUAAGCCAAACACAGAAUUCGCCACAGCUUAUUUUACUUUUGCCACUACAAACAGAUUACAAGUACACUCUGUCCGAUAGGCAACCCUCCAGCAACAGCCAUUCCUCCACGGGCAGGAAUCGUGGCCAACACAGCAAUGACCUUCCCCCCUCGUGGCCCACAGGACCCACUUCCUCAGAAUUCCCCCAUAUGGAAAUUCACUUGGAUCUACUUCUAGGACUCUCACAGUAUGUAAAACACUUAACUUUCUUUACUGUCAAGAAUAUAAAGGCAGAAGGCUUAGCUCUAAAGGAAGCAGGCUAAGAAAAAAAAAUGGCGUGCUUCUUCUACAGUGGGACUAAACAAGGAACCUGUAUGUCCUGCUAUUGCUGCACCGAAUCUCCAUGGCCAUCCUUCACAGUGCAGGUGUGAGGCUGCCUUUGGCCAAAUGCCUUCAACAAGCUGAGUUGAAGCCCCAUAGCCUGAAGCAGACAAGUACUUCCCCAGUCAGUCAGUUACUGGGUGAGGACAGACACUCUCUUCUCUGGUUGUUUCCACUUCCACUACAAUGGCAGAAUUUACCUCCAACACCUAAUGACAUCAUAUAAUAAAACACUAGUAAGGAGGAGCUAGUCAAACCAACAAACAGAAAAGCCACUGUUAGUCUGAAAGUUAAUGUCAUGUUCAACUGGGAGAAAACAGGUCUUCGGGAAGCAUUCAGAAAAAAUACUCCUUCAUUUAAGUAGCAGCAGCUCAGAAUAAAGCACUGAAAAAAUAGAAACCGUGAAGAGGCUUCAGUUUAUUGAUGUUCCAAACCAGCUUUCCAGAAUUUCAGAAGAGAGGGAGGAGAGAGGGGGGAAAAGAGUUCACAUCCAACUUAAAAGAAAUCCCAUGACUUAUCUCAGUCGGAAGCCUUUGCUGAGCCAAAUGUAUGUGCAUUUUAGCACACAUUUCCUAUACCACAGAACCUAGGGUGAAACAUGGUUGUUGAUUACCAUAUUAAAACGGGUGUC
ensembl:lncRNA